CCCUACGGGGCGCAGCAGGCGCGAAAACUUUACAAUGCUGGCAACAGCGAUAAGGAAACCUCGAGUGCCAGGCUGCAAUCUCGGGUGUCUCAAUGCCUAAAAACCAUGUGUAGCAAGGGCCGGGCAAGACCGGUGCCAGCCGCCGCGGUAACACCGGCGGCUCGAGUGGUAACCGCUAUUAUUGGGUCUAAAGGGUCUGUAGCCGGCCGGAUAAGUCUCUUGGGAAAUCCAGCUGCUCAACAGUUGGGCUUUCAGGAGAUACUGUCAGUCUUGGACCGGGAGAGU
rnacentral:rRNA from 1 species